ACAUAAUAUUAGUCUGCAAUUUAGCAAUAUUCGCAUCGAUAUAUGUAUUGUCAUUGCGAAAUACAUAAUAUUAGUCUGCAAUUUAGCAAUAUUCGGAAUAUGUCAAAAUGCUUGCAUUAUUACACCAGAAGCUCCCAGGUCGUCCAUCCGAUUUUGUUUAUACCUGGAGCUACAGACCUGCAGCCAUGCAAAGUCGAAAUACGGAAUGACUGCAGCAGCCUAGUGCAGGCUCCAUUGAUUAAUAUCCAAGUUGGUCGUGACUUGAGUGGCCAAUGUGCGGCCAUGACCCAGCACUGUGGUUCCAGACUAUCUACACUCGUGUUGUGUCACCGUGGGUGGUGUCCUCAGACAUGGACACUGUUUGGAGAGGACCAAGUUUCUUGCCGACCGAACUUUAGUCGAAAGUGACAAGAGUUUUGGCAAGUGUUAACCAUGGUUAAUCGGUACUGGUAAUUGCAAUCAUGAUGCUUUAUUAAAUUUGAGGGUGUUUUACAAUGAUUUAAGUCGAUUACGGAUACUUCUAAUUCGGUACAUUUUUUGAAAUCAAGUGUAUUUUGACUUGCUCGCCCAAAGCUGGGCAUGGUGGCGGGACAGCGUACUUCGUGUUUAAUCAGAAGAUUUAUGCAGAUAU